GAUGAAGAACGCAGCAAAAUGCGAUACUUGGUGUGAAUUGCAGAAUCCCGUGAACCAUCGAGUCUUUGAACGCAAGUUGCGCCCGAAGCCAUUAGGCCGAGGGCACGCCUGCCUGGGCGUCACACGUCGUUGCCCCCCCAUCUACUCCUUCGGGAUUGCGGGGGGCGGAUGAUGGCCUCCCGUGCGCCUCGUCGCGCGGUUGGCAUAAAUGCCAAGUCCUCGGCGACGCACGCCACGACAAUCGGUGGUUGCGAAACCUCGGUUGCCCGUCGUGUGCGGUCGUCGCGCAUCGAGGGCUCGAAAAAAUUGCCGGGCUCCGGCUCGGCUUUCAACGCGACCCCAGGUCAGGCGGGGUUACCCGCUGAAUUUAAGCAUAUCCAAUAAGCGGAGGA
rnacentral:misc_RNA from 1 species